rnacentral:rRNA from 1 species
UCAGGACGAACGCUGGCGGCGUGCCUAAUACAUGCAAGUCGAACGGUCUUUCUAUGGAAGCUUGCUUCCACUGAGAGGAUAGUGGCGAACGGGUGAGUAACACGUGGGUAACCUGCCCAUAAGAGGGGGAUAACAUCCGGAAACGGGUGCUAAUACCGCAUAGUUUUCUUGAUCGCAUGAUCGGGAAAGGAAAGACGGCCUUUGUGCUGUCGCUUAUGGAUGGACCCGCGGCGUAUUAGUUAGUUGGUGAGGUAACGGCUCACCAAGACGAUGAUACGUAGCCGACCUGAGAGGGUGAUCGGCCACAUUGGGACUGAGACACGGCCCAAACUCCUACGGGAGGCAGCAGUAGGGAAUCUUCCGCAAUGGACGAAAGUCUGACGGAGCAACGCCGCGUGAGUGAAGAAAAGGUUUUCGGAUCGUAAAACUCUGUUGUCAGAGAAGAACAAGUUGGAGAGUAACUGCUCCAGCCUUGACGGUAUCUGACCAGAAAGCCACGGCUAACUACGUGCCAGCAGCCGC